GUUUGGAUAGCUCAGUCGGUAGAGCAUAAGACUCUGAAUCUCUGGGUUGUGGGUUCGAGCCCCACGUUGGGCA